AGAUGUGAGGCAAUCUGGCUGCUACAUCUGUUACCCCCAAAAUCAUGAGGAUUGAUGCUGUUGAUUUGGGUGGCAAAGUAUGUGAGUGUUCCCUUCCUGGCAAAGUUUGUACACAUCCACUUCCUCACUCCACCCUCUACGAGCAAGCUGCAGAUUUGCCCACAGACAAUGAUCUUUCCAAAUAGAGAAGGACCAUUCGCAAGCCAAGGGCAUUAGAGCAGUUGAUCUGCGCUGCCAGAACCAUUAAACAAGCUCUCAAACCACUCUGCCAUUCCACAUCUCUAUAUCACACUUCUGGAACUUGCUUUUAGCUAAUAUAUUUAUACACAUUAUUUAUAUACAUCCCUUUGCAAUCUUAACUUACAAG
rfam:Dipodomys ordii contig_30729, whole genome shotgun sequence.